rnacentral:rRNA from 1 species
CAUUAUUGAAAUAAACCUGAUGAGUUGCUGCUGGUUCUCUUUGGAACAAUGUGCACACUUGUCAUCUUUAUAUCUCCACCUGUGCACCUUUUGUAGACCUGGAUAUUUCUCUCAGUGCUAGCCACUCAGGUUUGAGGAUUGACUUUAUGUCUCUCCUUACAUUUCCAGGCCUAUGUUUCUUCAUAUACCCAAUGUAUGUCUUAGAAUGUAAUCAAAUGGGCCUUUGUGCCUAUAAACCUAUACAACUUUCAGCAACGGAUCUCUUGGCUCUCGCAUCGAUGAAGAACGCAGCGAAAUGCGAUAAGUAAUGUGAAUUGCAGAAUUCAGUGAAUCAUCGAAUCUUUGAACGCACCUUGCGCUCCUUGGUAUUCCGAGGAGCAUGCCUGUUUGAGUGUCAUUAAUAUAUCAACCUCUUCAACUUUUGAAAAGUUUAUUGAGCGUUGGAUAUGGGGGGUUUUGUUUGCUGGUUCUUAUUACAAAGAUCAGCUCCCCUGAAAUGUAUUAGCGGAACAUUUUGUGGACCGUUCAUUGGCGUGAUAACUAUCUACGCUAUUGACGUGAAACAGUUCAGCUUCUAACAGUCCAUUGACUUGGACAAAAUUUUAUUAAUGUGACCUCAAAU